CACGUAGGGCGCAAGCGUUGUCCGGAAUUAUUGGGCGUAAAGAGCUCGUAGGCGGUGUGUCGCGUCGGCCGUGAAAACCUGCAGCUUAACUGUGGGCUUGCGGUCGAUACGGGCAUCACUGGAGUUCGGCAGGGGAGACUGGAAUUCCUGGUGUAGCGGUGAAAUGCGCAGAUAUCAGGAGGAACACCGGUGGCGAAGGCGGCUCUCUGGGACGGUACUGACGCUGAGACGCGAAAGCGUGGGGAGCGAACAGG
rnacentral:rRNA from 1 species